ACUCCUAUGAUGAAAUCGGUAGACAUACAGAACUUAAACUUCUGUGGGCAAAAGCUCGUAUGGGUUCGAUUCCCAUUAGGAGUACCA
rnacentral:tRNA from 1 species